GUCUCAGUCGUAUAGGUGGUCAGUACGUUACAUUGUGGUGCACACAAUUCUGUGGAGACAGCUGUUCGAGUCAGCUCUGGGACA
rnacentral:tRNA from 3 species